rnacentral:rRNA from 1 species
UACAGGGGUCUCAAGCGUUGUUCGGAUUCAUUGGGCGUAAAGAGCUCGUAGGUGGUUCGGUAAGUCGGAUGUGAAAUCUCCAGGCUCAACCUGGAGGGGUCAUUCGAUACUGCCGUGACUAGAGGUCGGUAGGGGAGUGUGGAAUUCCUGGUGGAGCGGUGAAAUGCGCAGAUAUCAGGAGGAACACCGGUGGCGAAGGCGGGUCUCUGGGCAGUAACUGACGCUGAGGAGCGAAAGCGUGGGGAGCGAACAGG